ACCCGCUGAACUUAAGCAUAUUAAUAAGCGGAGGAAAAGAAACCAACUGGGAUGCCCUUAGUAAUGGCGAAUGAAGUGGGCAGAGCUCAAACCUAAAUCUGAAGUUCCUUCUGGUGCUUCCGAAUUGUAGUUUUUGGAUCGGUAUUGAUUGGUUCCUGUUGCGAAUAAGUAGCCUUGAAUGGCUCGCCAUAGAAGGUGACAGCCCUGUAAAAACGUGACAGUUGGACAGAUUCAAUUCCCUUUCCGUGAGUCGGGUUGUUUGAGAUUGCAGCCCUAAUUGGGUGGUUGAUCCCAUCCAAAGCUAAAUAUUGUGACGAGACCGAUAGCAAAAAAGUACUGUGAAGGAAAGGUGAAAAGGACCCUGAAAAGGGGGUCAAAAGCGCUUGAAAUUGUUAUAAGGAAAACGUACACCACCGAUGACUGUGGCUGAGAGUGCAGGUGGUUGAUGUUUCAUCACUGUAUUUUCGUGGACCGUAAAAGGUUGCGAAUGUAUGAAUGGUGGGAUGUUGAUCAUUUUACGCUUUUCAGUUACGUAUCAGUGUUGGUUUGGAGGGAUGUAAACGGGAAUUAACAAGGUGCUUUGGGGGGUUCGCUUCCUGAGGUCUUAUAGGUUAGUUUUUCUGCAUUCUUCUGGAUCAUUUUUUA
rnacentral:rRNA from 1 species